CCUCUCUCCCUCUGUAUCUCUCUUAUCUCUCUGGAGUCUCUCGCGCGUCCUCUCUCUAUUUCUAUAGCGCAUCCUUUUCACUUUCCUAUGUUAUGAUCUUCGUUAAUACCUGUUUAUUUAACUGUGACUCGCUAGUAAAUCUGUAAUCAUAUAUCAUAUUAUAUCCUCUAAUCUCUUCGAUUCUCCAUUUUAGUUCUUUAAUUAAGCUCUAUCCUUGACGUUUUUGAUUAGCGCUCACAGGGAUGUAGUAAUCAUUGUGUGUCAUAUUAUGACCAGUCUCAGAUUUUCCCCUAAUUUUACGUGAAUUGAAUCUGUUCUGUUAUUUACUCAAUUUUCGUUCCUCUGUAUCUUCCAAAUUGAGGUAGAAUUUUAGGAAUAUCUGGAACCUUUUUGCAUCCACUUGAUUUGCAAUUUUAGUACUCCUAGUUCAGAUUAAUACACAUUGUUCAAAAAUUAGAGAACAUUUACGAAACUUCGUUGAUGUAAGCUUCAUUGAAUAUAGGCAUGUAUUUUCUAUAAAUUGCCAUAAAAUGCAAUUCCUUUAUUAAAACAUUGAUAUGUUGUCAUAAGUUUUGCGGAAAUAAGAGAAAAGUGAAUUACAGUUGAAACUGUAACGGAUCUCUUUGUUGUGGCAUUAUUAAUCUAUUUUGUAUUGAGAGGCUUAUAACUAGGUACCUUACCUUGCGGAAUUGUUGCAGCUAAAGCCUGAAGGAUAUAUGUGUCUGUGCGUGUUUAUCUUAAUUUGGAAAUAUUUCCUAUCGAAAUUAUUGUGCACUGGUUGUAUGUGGAUCCAGUUAUCUUUGCAAUCUUGGCAAAUGAUUUUUGAAUCUAUUUAUCAGCUGAGGCUUCACUAUAAUUUAUCCUGGCAUGUAAGUGAACUUACUUUUCAUGUCUCGAUUUCUAUCUUAAUCUUCUGAAAAAGAAAAGACUUGUGUAGUUGUGUAUACACGCUGAGUAGUAGCUGCUAUUUGAUUCUAGGUCAGUAGUGUCUGUAUAUGUGGCCAUCCGGCUAUUAACUUGUAAAUCUCUAUCAUUGACAUGCAGUUUUACAACAUAUAGUUAGCACUUAAAAAAAAAUCUGGAUUCUUUAAUAGUGAAUAAGGAACUGUGCUCUUUUAGAUGGCAGAAAAGCAGAAAGAUUCCUCCUCAUCCGGCAAUGGAGAAAACAUCACUUUUAGUGCUUUGUACUUCAGCAGAUAUGGGUAUUGGAAAGGAUUUCCUUACUUCGUGGAAAUCAAUGUCGGUGACAGAAGAUGAUCCAAUGGAUUUUGCUCUUUCAAAAGUCACUAAAGGCAAUAAAAAUGCUUUUGGAUUUGACAAUUUGGAUGUGGAUUUUAAUCUUGACAAUGAUUUUGGGAAAAUAUCAUCAUUCAGCAUAGAUAUUCCGGACCUUGAUGUCUCUUCUCCAGUGAAAAAGUCUGCAAAACCUACUGAGAAGUCUAAAGAAGUAUCCAUGGAUGAAAAGAUUCAGGGAAAAUCGAAUCGAUCGACCUUCCAGUUUGAUUUUGAUGAGUUUGAUGAUUCAAGUUUUGGGCCAAGCUUGAUGAAGAAAGCCAAGAAAACUAAUGCAAACCGAGAUGCCAAACUUUCUUUAAGCCCAAGUGGGAGUCUAGGCCUUAACGAAACUAUUGCAGCAUCUGAGGGCGAGACCACCCCAAAGCUUAAUAGCCAAUGUUGUGCAGAACCUGAUUCCCAGAGUAAAGAAAAGUUGCAAACACGUUUGGUAGAGGUGCAUACCCCUUCAAACUCAGAAUUCUCUAAGGUUCAAGCUACUAAUGUGGGGGCAACAACUUCACCACAGAAAAAAAAAUUCAACAGCACACAAGAAACAUUCCAAGAGAAUCGCCCAAAAGAAAGAAUUGGUUGUAUAGAACUAUAUGCUAAGGAUAAGUGUCGGAAUUCACCUGUUCAGUUUGUAUCUGAGAAUUCUUCAACUUACCAGACUGGUAGUAGUUCACAAGACGAAUUUGGUUGUUUGGCUGGGAAGGAAAGGACAAACUCUGGCAGAGAGCAAAGUCUGUGUCAUGACAAAACUGAUAUUGGCAUCGAUUGUGGGGAUUCUCAGAUAGGUAAAUUGGCAGUAGAUUUGGCAGGCUCACAGAGCAACGACGGUGUAAAUACCCAGUUUUCAGGUAAUAAUUCUGUCCGAGUAGAAGACAAAUAUAAUGGUGAACCAGGUCAAGAUGAUUCACAGUAUGAACAAACUUCCACAAGUGCAUCAAAGCAAGUGCUCCUCGAAAAAGAGGCUGAUGUGGACACCAUGGAUAUGACUUUGGAGCUUGUUACACGAUCAAACAGUGAAACCACGGGAGGUGGUAGGGAAAUGUUAGAAGCCAAAAGUGCAACAGAAAUUUUCAGGUCAAAGUAUUUCAGGGAAUUAGAUGAAGCAAAGUCACAACUGCAGCACUCAACAUUAUGUGGGACAAAAAUUGCAACCUUUGAUAGAAAAGGGACCGAGACAGUGCAACUAAGUUGUGCAAAUAAAGGUGCAACCAUGGGUGAUAAAGCAAUGCCAGAUAAAGCAAGUUUACACAACAUCAGCUCAGAAUGUUUCGAUGGUUUACAUGACACGCAAUCUCAUCUGCAGCAGGACUCAUCAUCCCAGGUUAAGGUCGGAGCUGAUGGUAGCAAAAGGAUCACUACUUCGCAACCAUGUACUGCAGAUGAAAGGGGAAGGCCCAAUUCUUAUGACACAAAGAGAUUUUUGACUAGUACAUCAAGGCUUCUUGAUAUGGAUGUAGCCAAAGGUGGACUUGUUUUGAAGGGAAGUGAAAACAGCGUAAAGGACCUCAAUACUUUCAGGGAACCUCAUGGCAAAGGUACAGAAAGUAGGGGAAAGUCAGAUUGUCCUUUAAAAGCAGUUCCAAGAGAGCAAAUUGAAGAUGACUCGGUUCAUACAAGAACUGAAGGGAGUUUUAAAGGGCUGACUAAUAACAGUGGAGAAUGCUAUUCUGAUAACACUGACAGAACUUUAACUGGUACAUCAAUGCUACAUGUUAAGGAUGGAAGUAAAAACAAUAUGAAAUACUUUAGUACCCUCAGGAAGAGUCAAACAAUUCAUCCUCCAUCAAAAUCAACACUGCAGAAGAAUACUAAACUGGUGACCAACUUAAGACAAGGUGCGGAUUUGAAAGAAAACGCAGAGCCCAGAAUGGCGCAUCAUGCAGAAAUAAGGGAACAAGCAACGUUAAGCCCAACUCUAAAGAGGAAAAAUAUUGAGGAGUCCGGCACAAAUCUGAUUAUGUUAAAGCCACCAAAACGUCUAUUUCUAUCACCUGGAGGAAGCAGGAUCCAGUACAUUAUCAUUUGUUUUUUUCAUUUAGACAACUUACAUUUUUGGAUCUUUCUGCUCUAUUUUAAUUUAACUUCUCUAUGCAGGAAUUUCAGAGAGUUGUCGGAAAAAUUGGUUGAUAAGGAGAACUUGCCUGAUAAUUACACAGGGAAGGUUCUUAAUAACUUUAAGAGUUCAUGUAAACAUUUUACUCAGAAAGUAGACAUGAAAGAAGAAGACACUCCUUUACAGAUAGACAGUGACACUAAUGUCGAGAAUGCUGAUGCAUGUGCAAAGGAGCUUGAGAAUUUGGUCGAUAUGCUGAAAAAGAAACAUGAGGAAGCAAAGGAAAUUCUUGUGAGGGCUGUUGUGAACAACAAUAAACUGCUGAUGCUGAACCACUCUAUCUACGAGGAAAAGUUUCACAUGAUCGAGAAAUUUGGUGCCUUGUGGUUGUCCAAGUAAGCGUUACAUUUAGAAGGCAAGAAAGUUGAGAUGCCCAUCCCCUUAAAUUCUAGCACUUGUCGCCAACUUCUGCUAAUUCGUCGGUCCUGGUUUAUAGGGUGGCGCGACUCGCGAGACCAUGCAUGCAUACAGUCACCUUUCAAUAACGCUCUCUGCUGCAAACUGGACCACAUAUAUACCACGUACUUUUCCUCGUGCAUCAUAUAAAACAGGAAUUCGGAUUGUGACAUACCAAUAUCACAACAUAUUAUCAACAAUAUUGUUGAUUUCUUAUGCGAAUAGAGGAGAUACUUUGUCAUCCAAUUAAAAACUGAUAAUUUAUUCGAGUUUUUUUCGAUUGGAUGCAUGUAUACUGCUCAUACACGAUACUAACAUUCGAUUGUGUCCAUGCGCUAAAAUAAACUGCACAAGUGACUAAUAUAGUUUGAGUUUUUGAAUUAUUCUUUUACAGAUAGAAAUUAAAGUA